CUUACAGUCCUGUGAAUGAAACAUUGUGACCUCAAGUUUACAGAUGAAGACAAUAAACUUCAGAGAGUUCAAGUAUAUCACUCAAGGAUUAUUUGUGCCCAUGAGGGAAACACGAAGGAUUGUCAGUAUUCAUUUGCUAUCAGAACUGCCUUUGAACUUCAGGGAAGCCGCCAUCUUGUUUUAGUUCACUCCUCUAAAGCACAGUGUCUGCAACAUGAAACACUAGUAAG
rnacentral:lncRNA from 1 species